CCUGCCCUGGCUCAUGACAACCACUCAGAGUCUGUAGUGUACAGAUACUGUAAAUAAUAACACAUGUAUGAAUAUCUCCUGUUGUCUUAUCUAUGAAGUCUGUAAAGGUUGUGUGCAGGGUAAGACCCUGCAGGUCCUCGGUGCCCAUAACAACCCAUUACCAUGGUGCCUAUUGAGCAAGCUCUACAAGCUGGGACUGGCCUAGUGAUCUGACCUAAACUAAAAGCAAUGGUCCACAUGGUUUCUCCCACUUACAGAAGCCCACAGAGAUGCCUAGAGGAGAGAAGUGAGGAGACAGCAGUGAUCCUGGUCCACACAGUGCAGGCUCCCUCGAGUGGCACCACCUCCUGCUGGACUGGGGGGCAGAAGGAGGGCGUGACACCUCCACUUCUCAGCGGUAGAAGCAAGCAGAGAAGAGAGAGAUGGAGGCUGUUCUAUACACAGAUAGAACCAGACAGUCCUCACGUGAAGGAAGUGAACCCAUUCCUAAAAUACGGUCACCUCAUCUUCUUAAAGGAACAGUGUACACGUUAAGGAAGGUUAAAGGAGAGGAACAGAAACCCACCUUCCGGGAACCUUUGCGUUUCUCCUCCAGAAAUUGAUCCUGUUCUCGGUGGCCAUACUCGGAUAACACGACCCCCUUCAG